rnacentral:lncRNA from 1 species
UUUCUUACAUCUCCCCCUCCCGGAGCCCAGGUAUCAUAUAUGCCCCCAAAAUAAAGAGCCUUGAAUACUAGAAGAAAAGCACCUAGACCUAACAAGAUUAAGUGAAUACCUAUAAUUGUGGUCAUUUUAUUUCGAUCUUUCCAGACAUAACCAAAGAAGGGAAAAGAUUCUUCAAGUGUCUCAGGUCCCAGAAGUGCAUGAUAAAUGCUAAGUGAAUACCUAUAAUUGUGGUCAUUUUAUUUCGACCAGACAUAACCAAAGAAGGGAAAAGAUUCUUCAACUGUCUCAGGUCCCAGAAGUGCAUGAUAAAUGG